GAAGGUGGCUCAGUGGUAGAGUGCUUGCCUAGUAUGCAUGAAGUCCUGGGUUCAAUUCCUUAGCACCAUCU
rfam:Dipodomys ordii contig_13792, whole genome shotgun sequence.